CUUCGGCCCGAGUUGUAAUUUGCAGAGGAUGUUUAUGGUGCGGUUCCUACCGAGUUCCCUGGAACGGGACGCCACAGAGGGUGAGAGCCCCGUCUGGUAAGAUAUCAAACCUGUGUUAAACUCCUUCAACGAGUCGAGUAGUUUGGGAAUGCUGCUCUAAAUGGGAGGUAAAUCUCUUCUAAAGCUAAAUACCGGCCAGAGACCGAUAGCGCACAAGUAGAGUGAUCGAAAGAUGAAAAGCACCUUGAAAAGGGGGUUAAACAGUACGUGAAAUUGUUGAAAGGGAAGCGUUUAUGACCAGACUUGUGCCGUGUGGCUCAUCCGAGGUUCUCCYCGGUGCACUCCACGCGGCUCAGGCCAACAUCGGUUCUUGUUGAGGGAUAAGAAUAGUAGGAACGUAGCUCUCUUUGGGGAGUGUUAUAGCCUAUUAUACGAUACCUUGACGGGGACCGAGGACCGCGCUUCGGCUAGGAUGUUGGCGUAAUGGUCAUUAGCGACCCGUCUUGAAACACGGACCAAGGAGUCGUCCAUUAAAGCGAGCGUUUGGGUGUAAAACCCGCACGCGUAAUGAAAGUGAAAUUAGGUGAGAGCUUCGGCGCAUCAUCGACCGAUCCUGAAGUUUACGGAUGGAUUUGAGUAAGAGUUUUAACGGACGGACCCGAAAGACAGUGAACUAUGCUUGAAUAGGGUGAAGCCAGAGGAAACUCUGGUGGAGGCUCGCAGCGGUUCUGACGUGCAAAUCGAUCGUCAAAUUUGAGCAUGGGGGCGAAAGACUAAUCGA
rnacentral:rRNA from 1 species